ACAAACAGAACAAAAAAAUGACAAGACUUUUGCACGGACAUGGCUGGAAUAUUGUUAAGGGGUGUCGUUGUUUUUUUGCUGUUUUGAAGUGAUCAGCUUCUAGCAAGAACGAAUGCGGAGGAAAAAGCGACCGUGCUACUGAACAGAUGGGCAGAGGGCGCUGACGUCGAUGUCGUCUUCGUGGUCGACCGAAGCAACUCUAUGGGAAACGACAGCUUUCUUUACGCGAAGUGCGUGCUACAGGAAUGGGUGAAGCGCUUUGCCGACGACCACACACGCAGUUACAACGUCGCCGCCA